rnacentral:rRNA from 1 species
UGAGUACGAGAUGCUACGGCAUCGAAGCAGUCUAUGUCAUACUUCCAAGAAAAGCUUGCACUGUCAGAAACAGAUAAUGCCUGUACCAUAACCGACACAGGUGGGUAGGUAGAGUAUACUAAGGGGCGCGAGAUAACUCUCUCUAAGGAACUCGGCAAAAUGACUCCGUAACUUCGGGAGAAGGAGUGCCUUAUUUUUAAGGUUGCAAUAACAAGAUCCAAGCAACUGUUUACCAAAAACACAGGUCUCCGCUAAGUCGUAAGACGAUGUAUGGGGGCUGACGCCUGCCCAGUGCCAGAAGGUUAAAGAAGUCGGUUAGCAUUCGCGAAGCUGGUAACUGAAGCCCUGGUGAACGGCGGCCGUAACGAUAACGGUCCUAAGGUAGCGAAAUUCCUUGUCGGGUAAGUUCCGACCCGCACGAAAGGCGUAAUGAUUUGGAUACUGUCUCGGAGAGGGGCUCGGUGAAAUAGACUUGUCUGUGAAGAUGCGGACUACCUGCACCUGGACAGAAAACCCUAUGAAGCUUUACUGUAACUUGAAAUUGAAAUUGGACUUUAUUUGCGCAGUAUAGGUGGGAGGCGUUGAAAACAUUCUUGCGGGAAUAUUGGAGCCAUCAGUGAGAUACCACUCUUGUAGUGUUAGAUUUCUAACUUUAUAUCAUUAUCUGGUUAAAGAACAGUUUCAGGCAGGCAGUUUGACUGGGGCGGUCGCCUCCCAAAUGGUAACGGAGGCGCACAAAGGUUUCCUCUGAACGGGUAGAAAUCGUAUCUAGAGUGUAAAGGCAUAAGGAAGCUUGACUGUGAGACCUACAAGUCGAGCAGGGACGAAAGUCGGUCUUAGUGAUCUGACGGUGCUGAGUGGAAAGGCCGUCACUCAACGGAUAAAAGUUACUCUAAGGAUAACAGGCUGAUCUCCCCCAAGAGUUCACAUCGACGGGGAGGUUUGGCACCUCGAUGUCGGCUCAUCGCAUCCUGGGGCGGUAGUACGUCCCAAGGGUUGGGCUGUUCGCCCAUGAAAGCGGUACGCGAGCUGGGUUCAGAACGUCGUGAGACAGUUCGGUCCAUAUCCGGUGUAGGCGUUAGAAUAUUGAGAGGAGCCUUCUUUAGUACGAGAGGACCGAGAAGGACAUACCUCUGGUGUACCAGUUAUCGUGCCAACGGUAAACGCUGGGUAGCUACGUAUGGAGUGGAUAACCGCUGAAAGCAUCUAAGUGGGAAGCCCACCUCAAGAUAAG